AGCUUGAACGCUGGCGGCGUGGCUAAGACAUGCAAGUCGAACGGGUGUAGCAAUACACCAGUGGCGGACGGGUGAGUAAUGUAUCGCUAACGUGCCCUCGAGCCAGGGAUAGCUGUCCGAAAGGACAGGUAAUGCCUGAUGAUAUAACUUUAUCGCAUGAUGAAGUUCUCAAAGCAGUAAUGCAC
rnacentral:rRNA from 1 species